GGAUUGUGGCUCAGCGGUAGAGCGCCCGCCUAGCACAUGCGAGGCCCUGGGUUCGAUCCUCAGCACCA
rnacentral:tRNA from 1 species